rnacentral:rRNA from 1 species
UACAGAGGCCUCGAGCGUUAGGCGGAAUCACUGGGCUUAAAGCGUGUGUAGGCGGACUUCUAAGUACCUUGUGAAAUCCCACGGCUCACCCGUGGAACUGCUUGGUAUACUGGUUGUCUUGAGCCUUCUAGGGGCGAGUGGAACAAAUGGUGGAGCGGUGAAAUGCGUAGAGAUGUGGAGGAACACCGAUGGCGAAGGCAGCCCCCUGGGCUGAGAUUGACGCUCAGGCACGAAAGCGUGGGGAGCAAACAGG